CCGCAAAGACGUCGAACGGAGCCCCCCCAUGCUUGCCAUGGGGACAGCUAGCCCCGCCCCCGCGCCAUUCUGGGCAGGUAGCUCCGCCCCUGGAUGUGAUUAACUAGGCAGGAAGAGUUGAGUUUAAUACUUUAAUUAGUUAUCCAUACUUUGACCUAUUCACACACUAAUGUACAUCAAUUAACUUUUCUGCACUUGAUUACAAAAAUAAUAAUGACAAGCAGCUGAAUGUGUUAGGGUACUCCUUUGGAAAGCAUUACAUUUUAGGAUAAUGAAGUGUCUGUAGUGUAAUAUCGGUGAUAUCUCAUUCAUAUACACAUAUAUUAUCUGUUGUCACUGUGGUCUUUGAGCCAGCCCUUAUGCAGGAACAUAAAGGUAAAGGUAAAGGGAUCCCUGACAGUUAAGUCCAGUCGCAAACGACUCUGGGGUUGCGGAACUCAUCUCGCUUUACAGGCAGAGGGAGCAAGCGUUCGUCUGCAGACACUUUUUCUGGCCAGCAUGACUAAGCCGCUUCUGGUGCAACAGAGCACGAAAAGCAGAGCAGCGCACAGAAACACUGUUUACCUUCCCGCCGGAGCGGUGCCUAUUAAUCUACUUGCACUUUUUGGUGUGCUUUCGAACUGCUAGCUUGGCAGGAGCUGGGACCGAGCAACAGGAGCUCACCCCAUUGUGGGGAUUCAAACCACCAACCUUCCUAUCAGCAAACCAAAGGCUCAGUGGUUUAGACCACAGCGCCACCCACGUCCCUUUUUAUGCAGGAACAUACACAAUUGCAAAUUGCAAAGGAAAUGUGGAAACCUGAAUUAAAAUUUGGAAAAAUGAGAAAUGUAGAGAUCCAAAAUCAACAGGUUCAUACAUCCCUACACAGAACCAAUAUAUGAGUCUAGUAUUUGUCCAGGAGGUCUGGGCCAAGAGCAGGCCACAAUUUGGUGAAUUGGUACAUGCUAGGGAAACUCCAGGAGGGGUACCAAGCACACAGAAACCUCUAAGAGCACAUCAUUUCAAGUUGUUACUUGCAGGAAAACACAUCCAAAACAUGUCCUGCAUAUCAUAGAUGGGGGAAGAACAGGAGCCUGUACAAAUGGCAAAAGACAGAAAGCGAAAUUAUAAGACAAGAUUCUUUAUCAGUAUGGAUGAAGUUACAUGGUUCAGCCACAGGAGGGCGAGCUGGCAUCAUCCAUGUUGCACACUCUCCCUUAGAUUUCUCAAUUGUUUUGGUAACACCAGCAGUUAUUCUAGGAACCAUGCAGUGAAAAAGAUCACAAAAAAAUAAGCCAAUCAACAGUUGGCUGAAAGCUCCCCCGCCCCCUUUUGUCAUUCUAGAAAAACAGAUCAUGGGCCUCCGAAACAGACCUCCGGAACGAAUUAAGUACUUAACCCGAGGUACCACUGUAUAAGGAAGCUGUAUAAGCCCUGUAUAAGGAAGCUUUUUAAUGUGUAGAAAUCAAACUUCAGACACAAUAAAAACAAGAAAAGAAAAGAAAAGAAAAGAAAAGAAAAGAAAAGAAAAGAAAAGAAAAGAAAAGAAAAGAAAAAGAAAAUUGUCUCCUUCCACAAUCACAUUUAAAAGGACAUACACUGUUAUGAACAUUUUCGCCUGGAGCCUAAAAAUAUAUAACGAAGGUGUCAGGCAAACUUCCCUGGGGAGAGCAUCCCACAAAUGGGGAGCCACUACAGAAAAGGCCCUUUCUCCUGUUGCCCCCCUCCAGACCUCUUGUGGAGGAGGCACAUGAAGAAUGGCCUCAGAUGAUGAUCGCAGGGUGUGGGUCGGUUCAUAUGGGGAGAGGCGAUCCUUGAGGUAUUGCAGUCUUCAGCCUUCUAAGGCUUCAUAGGUCCAAACCAGCACUUUGAAUUGGGCCCGGAAACUAACUGGUAGCCAGUGCAGUCGGACCAGGAUCGGUGUAAUGUGACCAUGCUGUCUUGCUCCAGUGAGCAACCUGGCUGCUGAAUUCUGCAUCGGCUGAAGUUUCCGAACCGUCUUCAGAGGCAACCCUACGUAUAACACUUUGUUUGAAAUAAGCUCUACUAUGCUGAAUGGGUAUUAUUCCAUCCAUGUACAUGCAGGACUGUUGCAUGGAAGUCAAUGAGACUUCACUGUAUCCUUAAAUGCUUAGGUCCGAUUGUUUUCUUUGGCAUACAGGUUCUUUUCUAUCCUACUGCAACUGUCCCCAAAGUACUGCUCCUUAAACUCUUGCUCCAACCUGUUGUCCCAAAGAGUCCACGCUAGUCCACCCAGGAGGCAAUGUGAAGAUCCACAAGGACAGCAGGUCCCAAUGUCCCCCCCCCCGUUUUUGUUGGUGGGGAGGGGGAGGCAUUUUGCAGUUUCCUCAGGUGCCAACGUGAAUGGGUCCGGCCCUGAAAAGCAUGACUUUGUUCUGUUUUGUUGUAAAGCUCCCAGAGAAAGCAUCCCCACCUCUUCUCAACUGGGGUCUGCCGAAUGCAUUGGUAGGCAAACUAAGGCCCGGGGGCCAGAUCCGACCCAAUUGCCCUCUAAAUCCGCCCUGCGGGCAGUCUGGGAAUCAGCGUGUUUUUACAUGAGUAGAAUGUGUCCUUUUAUUUAAAAUGCACCUCUGGGUUAUUUGUGGGGCAUAGGAAUUCAUUCACCUUUUUUUCAAAAUAUAGUCCGCCCCCCCCCCCCAAGGUCUGAGGGACAGUGGACUGGCCCCCUGCUGAAAAGGUUUGCUGACCCCUAAUGCAAAUUGUCCGUCCCUCCCGGUGCUGCCCUUUAGGCAGGGACUCUUGCUUGCUUGCCUGUGUAAGCUGAAUCCUGGAUUUCAUCUAUCCAUGGCUAGAUCUCCUCCCAGUGUGUAUGUUCAUGAGAUGUGGACUUGACAGGUCCCAAAAUGUCACAACAAUGGGGAAACUUUUCAGAUCCCAUUACAUUCAUACAUCAUUUCCUCAGGUUCUGAAUUCCCCCUCCCCGACAAGACUUCAGUGUUGACAUCGGUCACCAUGGAGACGAGAACCUUAAUACUCCUCUUUAGUAUCAAGCAGAGCACUCAGGCAAUCAGAUUCUUUCUCAUGGUGGGGUAAGCAGGGGGGUACCUCCUGCAUCAGAUACAAGAUCAGGUUUUUGUGGAGAGUCAUUGUGAACUCAGCUGGGGAGAUGAAAUAAUAACCUUCUUUUUUACCAGCGUCAGAACAGCAGGCCUGUUUUGUAAGUUCAAGUGAAAGACUGUGCCAAUUCUUCCAGCUUUCUCCUGAGCUGCUCUGACAACCUGAAGGGCAGAUCUACACCUUUCAUUUAACACACACACACACACACACACACACACACACACAGUGCUGGAUUUACGUAUAAGCUAAACAAGCUAUAGCUUAGGGCUCCACUCUCUUGCCCCCCC
rnacentral:lncRNA from 1 species